AUGUUAAGCACACAACUGUAAAAGAAUAAACCUCGGAUUUUAUACUAAGAAGUCCAAUGUUUUUAAACCUGACCCGGACGCUGAACAAGAGACUUACCGGGUCGCUGGGUCAUUGGAUUGACCAAGGGUGAACCGCGGGUUAAUAAAUCAAUUAAUUUUAUUAUAUAAUAAUAUAUUAGCUACGAAAAUAAAAAUAUAGAAACUAAAGUUUAAUAUUUUCUAUUUAAAAAAAAACAUAAAAUAAUAGUUUGGAUAUGUAUAUAUUUUAUGUUUAAAAAAUAUUUAGAAAAUACUUAAUUUUAGUUUUUAUAUAUUAUUUUCAUUUGACAUACAAAAUAUCAAAAAAUAGUUUAUAGGGCAAAUCUCCAAAAUAGCACCUUUCUAAGUUUAUAUCACAAAAUUAACACUCAAAAACUAAAACGACCAAAAUGGCACAUUUCUAAGUUUAUCCUUUGAAAAUUUUAAUUUUUUUUAUUUCAAAAUUUGAAAUCUUAUCCCCAAAACCUUAUUUCUCAACUCUAAACCCUAAACCCUAAACUCUAAACCCUAAACCCUAAACUCUAAACCCUAAAUCCUAAACCAUAAACCCUAAACCCUAAACUCUAAACCCUAAACCCUAAACUCUAAACCCUAAACCCUAAACCCUAAAUCCUAAACCCCACCCUUUAACUCUAAACCCUAAAUCCUAAACCAUAAACCCUAAACCCUAAACUCUAAACCCUAAACCCUAAACCCUAAACCCUAAAAUCUAAACCCUAAACCCUAAACUCUAAACCCUAAACCCUAAAUCCUAAACCUCACCCUUUAACUCUAAAC
rnacentral:lncRNA from 1 species